rnacentral:rRNA from 1 species
UACGGAGGGGCUAGCGUUGUCCGAAGUUACUGGCGUAAAGCGCGCGUAGGCGGGUUGGUAAGUCCGCUGUGAAAGCCCGGAGCUCAACUCCGGAGGUCGGUGGAUACUGCCAGUCUUGAAGGUGCUAGGGAGAUGGAAUUACCGGUGUAGCGGUGAAUGCGUAGAUAUCGGUAGGAACACCAGUGGCGAAGGCGGUCUCCUGGGCAUUCUUGACGCUGAGGCGCGAAGCUGGGAGCGAACGG